rnacentral:rRNA from 1 species
CCCCUAGAUGUUCUGGGCCGCACGCGCGCUACACUGAACAGUUCAACAAGUCUUAACCUUGGCCGAUAGGUCUGGGUAAUCUUUGAACGCUGUUCGUGAUUGGGAUAGACCUUUGCAAUUAUGGGUCUUCAACGAGGAAUUCCUAGUAAACGCAAGUCAUCAGCUUGCAUUGAUUACGUCCCUGCCCCUUGUACACACCGCCCGUCGCACCUACCGAUUGAAUGGUCCGGUGAAAUCUCGGGACGGCGGCUUGGUCGCUUGCGUCCGACUGCUGAAACUUGAUUAAACCAUAUCAUUUAGAGGAAGGUGAAGUCGUAACA